UCCGGUUUGACACCGGCAGUCUCUCUAGAGUGCCCAGCUUAACCUGAUGGCAACUAGUAGCGAGGGUUGCGCUCGUUGCGGGACUUAACCCAACGUCUCACGACACGAGCUGACGACAGCCAUGCAGCACCUGUGUUCCAGCCAGCCGAACUGAAGGACCAGAUCUCUCCGGACCAUACUGGACAUGUCAAACGUGGGUAAGGUUCUGCGCGUUGCUUCGAAUUAAACCACAUGCUCCACCGCUUGUGCGGGCCCCCGUCAAUUUCUUUGAGUUUUAACCUUGCGGCCGUACUCCCCAGGCGGAGAGCUUAAUGCGUUAGCUGCGUCACCGACACGCAUGCGUGCCGACGACUAGCUCUCAUCGUUUACAGCGUGGACUAC
rnacentral:misc_RNA from 1 species